UACAGAGGUCUCAAGCGUUGUUCGGAUUCAUUGGGCGUAAAGGGUGCGUAGGCGGCGCGGUAAGUCGGGUGUGAAAUCUUGGAGCUUAACUCCGAAACUGCAUUCGAUACUGCCGUGCUUGAGGACUGGAGAGGAGACUGGAAUUUACGGUGUAGCGGUGAAAUGCGUAGAUAUCAGGAAGAACACCCGUGGCUAAGGCGGCUCUCUAGUACGGUACUGACACUGAGACACGAAGGCGUGGGGAGCGAACAGG
rnacentral:rRNA from 1 species